CACGUAGGGCGCGAGCGUUGUCCGGAAUUAUUGGGCGUAAAGAGCUCGUAGGCGGCCUGUUGCGUCCGCUGUGAAAGUCCGGGGCUCAACUCCGGAUCUGCGGUGGGUACGGGCAGACUAGAGUGAUGUAGGGGAGACUGGAAUUCCUGGUGUAGCGGUGAAAUGCGCAGAUAUCAGGAGGAACACCGAUGGCGAAGGCAGGUCUCUGGGCAUUAACUGACGCUGAGGAGCGAAAGCAUGGGGAGCGAACAGG
rnacentral:rRNA from 1 species